CCCAGUGUAGUGAAGUUUAACUCGGCAACUCGAACAAAUUCUUAUUUACAUUGACGGCCUACCCCUGUAUGAAGGACAAACUUUACUGCCCUGUUUCCAGUUGUCCACAUGGCUGGAAGAACCUAUUCAAAUACCUUGUAACUGGAGAUUCCUUCAAAACGAUUGUCUACAGUUACCGUGUAGGACACUGCAAGGUUGGGUGACCAAGGACCAGGAGGGGAUCUGCAGCUCGCCGCCGUGUGCCAGAGGAGGAGUCUGCUGCUCUGCAGGAUGUUUCAAGGAUGGGGUCCAACAACGCAGCAAGAGAGGCAAUCCGUGUGCAGGAGAUCUUCACCUCCUACUUCAUCAAAGAGGGUGCUGUUCCCUGACAACACCAUAGAUGUCACUAUGCACAACCAAAAGCUCUUUUAAGAGCCAUUCACAUUGCACAUAAAGUACUCUGCAGCCACUUAGUGUGGUGUGGACACCAGGUUAUAUCAGCUGUGUCUGUGAACCCCUCCUGCAUCUGAACUGGCUACAUAGAGGGCACAGCAUGAUCAGAGAUAUGUUUUGAUGUGAGAGGAUGCCAACCCCCAGUCCCAUCAUCACCACCUCACCUGCUUUUAAGAACCUUUGGGCCGACGAGAGACACUAUUAUGUAAUUGUGAUGAACUGAGAGAAUAUUUAUGUAGCACUGUGAUUCAUUAAUCAUGUGCUGCCUUCCCUGCUCCUAUGUGCUUACCUCUUUCUCUUUCUGUCUUUUACACCUCUCUCACCACCUCCUCUUUCUUCCUCUGUUUUUAUAAUGCACAACAGAUGUGCAUUGAAGUACAGAUUAAACUUGUAUUUAUAACACUUGGAUAAUGAGCUUUUCAAUAAAGCGUUUCACAUUCUCUACUGGUUGAAAUGAAGUGUAAUGUGAUGAAAUACUCCACCUAUCCUGUGUUUAUCAGAUCAAUGCAGAUGAAGGGCAUUAGAUGUUGAGAUGAACCAGUGUUAGAGUAUUUACAUGAUGCAUAGGAAGUGUAGUGUACUGUUUUUAACAUUAUAUUUCUGUAUAUAUGAAUUAACUAGUUAAAUCCUGUUUCUAG
rnacentral:lncRNA from 1 species